rnacentral:ribozyme from 13 species
UGAAAAAAAAAAAAAAAAAAAAAAAAAAAAAAAAAAAAAA